rnacentral:rRNA from 1 species
GAUGAACGCUGGCGGCGUGCCUAAUACAUGCAAGUCGAGCGAACGGACGAGAAGCUUGCUUCUCUGAUGUUAGCGGCGGACGGGUGAGUAACACGUGGAUAACCUACCUAUGAGACUGGGAUAACUUCGGGAAACCGGAGCUAAUACCGGAUGAUAUUUUGAACCGCAUGGUUCAAAAGUGAAAGACGGUCUUGCUGUCACUUAUAGAUGGAUCCGCGCUGCAUUAGCUAGUUGGUAAGGUAACGGCUUACCAAGGCAACGAUGCAUAGCCGACCGGAGAGGGUGAUAGGCGACCCUGGAACUGAGACACGGUCCAGACUCCUACGGGAGGCAGCAGUAGGGAAUCUUCCGCAAUGGGCGAAAGCCUGACGGAGCAACGCCGCGUGAGUGAUGACGGUCUUCGGAUCGUAAAACUCUGUUAUUAGGGAAGAACAUAUGUGUAAGUAACUGUGCACAUCUUGACGGUAACUAGUAAGAAAGCCACGGCUAACUACGUG